rnacentral:rRNA from 1 species
AUACGUAGGUGACAAGCGUUAUCCGGAUUUACUGGGCGUAAAGGGCGUGUAGGCGGUCUUGCAAGUCAGAAGUGAAAUUCCCGAGCUCAACUCGGGCGCUGCUUCUGAAACUGCAGGACUUGAGUGCUGGAGGGGAUAGCGGAAUUCCUAGUGGAGCGGUAAAAUGCGCAGAUAUUAGGAAGAACACCGGUGGCGAAGGCGGCUAUCUGGACAGUAACUGACGCUGAGGCGCGAAAGUGUGGGGAGCAAACAGGAUUAGAUACCCUGGUAGUCCACACUGUAAACGAUGAAUGCUAGGUGUAGGGGGUAUCGACCCCUUCUGUGCCUCAGUUAACACAAUAAGCAUUCCGCCUGGGGAGUACGGCCGCAAGGUUGAAACUCAAAUGAAUUGACGGGG